rnacentral:rRNA from 1 species
GUUCGUGGAGUGAUCUGUCUGCUUAAUUGCGUUUCAAAAUAUGAAUUUGAGUACCAGGUCCCAAGUGUUUCAAGUAAAUCUGUCUCUGAGUGUGAACUGUAUCUCUUCGGAUAUGCGACUAUCACUCUUAGGCAAUUAUGAUUUGCUUGUAGCCCCUGGUACUCUUUUGAACGCAACGGACGUGAUUGCAACCCCUUGUUGAGUUUGCUUCUCUUAGGAACUCUACGUCUACUGAUCCACCUACCUUAGCGGGUAGGUGGUGAGGUGGAUAAACUCGGGGGACUGCUGACUAUAACCAUUUCUCAAAACAGAGGAAGGUUGCGGCAAUAACAGGUCUGUGAUGCCCUCAGAUGUCCCGGGCUGCACACGUGCUACAAUGAGUAGCGCAGUGUGCACAUUUUGAAGAGUGAUAGGUGCUGGGGUUGUACAUUUUAAAGGGCUCGUCCUAGUAACCAACCGCCCCCAAGCAUCUAUCAACCUUCCCUUUACAGGGUGGGUAACCUCUUCGAAGUGCUGGUUUGAUUUCCCUAGUGUUUGUCAUAAUAAUCCUCGUCGCACCUACUCUAGGACAUAGUGAACAUUGUAGACUUUGUCAUAAUGAUUCCCGUCUUAGGUUUGCGACGCAUGCUUUUCCUGGUUGACUCAUCGUGGGAAC